rnacentral:rRNA from 1 species
AUUGAACGCUGGCGGCAGGCCUAACACAUGCAAGUCGAACGAGUGGCGGACGGGUGAGUAAUGUCUGGGAAACUGCCUGAUGGAGGGGUAUAACUACUGUAAACGGUAGCUAAUACCGCAUACCAUCAGAUGUGCCCAGAGGGGAUUAGCUGGUUGGUGGGGUAACGGCUCACCAAGGCGACGAUCCCUAGCUGGACUGAGAGGAUGACCAGCCACACUGGAACUGAGACACGGUCCAGAAUCCUACGGGAGGCAGCAGUGGGGAAUAUUGCACAAUGGGCGCAAGCCUGAUAGAGCAAUGCCGCGUGUGUGAAGAAGGCCUUCGGGUUGUAAAGUACUGUCAGCGGGGAGGCGUUACCCGCAGAAGAAGCACCGGCUAACUCCGUGCCAGCAGCCGCGGUAAUAC